rnacentral:rRNA from 1 species
UACAGAGGUGGCAAGCGUUGUUCGGAAUUACUGGGCGUAAAGGGCGCGUAGGCGGCCUUGUAAGUCCUGUGUGAAAUCCCCCGGCUCAACUGGGGAACUGCACAGGAGACUGCUUGGCUUGAGUUCGGGAGAGGGAAGCGGAAUUCCGGGUGUAGCGGUGAAAUGCGUAGAUAUCCGGAGGAACACCGGUGGCGAAGGCGGCUUCCUGGACCGGUAUUGACGCUGAGGCGCGAAAGCCAGGGGAGCAAACGGG